rnacentral:rRNA from 1 species
GACGAACGCUGGCGGCGCGCUUAACACAUGCAAGUCGAACGAGAAGCUCGGUGCUUGCACCGGGUGGACAGUGGCGAACGGGUGCGUAACACGUGAGCAACCUGCCCCGGAGACCGGAAUAACCCGAGGAAACUCGGACUAAUACCGGAUGCCCUCCUCGGAUCGCAUGGUCCGGUGAGGAAAUGGUCUGCCGCUCCGGGAUGGGCUCGCGGCCUAUCAGCUUGUUGGUGAGGUAACGGCUCACCAAGGCAACGACGGGUAGCUGGUCUGAGAGGACGAUCAGCCACACUGGGACUGAGACACGGCCCAGACUCCUACGGGAGGCAGCAGUGGGGAAUCUUGCGCAAUGGGGAAACCCUGACGCAGCGACGCCGCGUGCGGGAUGAAGGCCCUAGGGUUGUAAACCGCUUUCAGCAGGGACGAAGCGAAAGUGACGGUACCUGCAGAAGAAGGACCGGCUAACUACGUG